UACGAAGGGGGCUAGCGUUGUCCGGAAUUACUGGGCGUAAAGCGCACGUAGGCGGGUCGUUAAGUCAGGGGUGAAAUCCCAGAGCUCAACUCUGGAACUGCCUUUGAUACUGGCGACCUAGAGUCCGGAAGAGGUUAGUGGAAUUCCCAGUGUAGAGGUGAAAUUCGUAGAUAUUGGGAAGAACACCAGUGGCGAAGGCGGCUAACUGGUCCGGUACUGACGCUGAGACGCGAAAGCGUGGGGAGCGAACAGG
rnacentral:rRNA from 1 species